UUGCAGAGUAAUAUGUCUCCACUCUUCUUAUGAAUGAACAAAAAUAUGGGCAUUUGGGAGGUCUAUGUAGAGAAAUGAAACUAGCAAAACCAGCUUUAGUUUCAUCAUAUCCCACUGUUAUCUUGCUUGGCAAAAAGUCGAGAGGUUGGCUUCAUAGAUCAGGUACUUCAAUUAUCUUCUUAAUUACCGUGAGUUUUCUGAUUUUGAUUGCCAUUGAGUUCGCAUUCUAUGAAGUUAAAUCGUAGAUAGUAUUCUUGAAAUAUGCUGGAUUGAUUGUUAAUUACGGAGUAUCGUUCUGUUAAGAUGUGCUAUUUGUUAAAUGUCACUUUCUAGUUUCUACCUCCCAAGUAAGGCCUGGUGUUGAAGAUGAGACGUUUCGAGUGAUCGAAUCUAGCAAAAUAAAGAUGAGUUAUCAUAUGCAAAUGGUGGCUCAAGUUACCGAACCGUUGGCUCUCUGGCUACUGGUGUGAUGGUUGUUAGAUAUAUAUCGGUGACCAGGGUUCCUGAUGCAAGUUUUGAAGCUUGGCUUUCUGUUUUUGACAAACAGGCUGAAAUCUCAGGUAAAUGAGAUUUUUCAUGAUCUAUUAUCCUUUUUGGAGGGUGUUAAAAGUCCCACAUUGAAAAAAAUAAGAGAAUAUAUGGAUUUAUACGGCCAUGAGUUAGACUGGCUAAUUGUUUGGAUUCAAUCUUUUAGUGUGGUUUGGCC